UCCCCUGUAGCUCAGUUGGUAGAGCAGGUGACUGUUAAUCACCGGGUCGCAGGUUCGAGUCCUGCCGGGGGAG
rnacentral:tRNA from 1 species